rnacentral:tRNA from 1 species
GGUUGCAUAGCUCAGCGGCAGAGCAGCGGGCUCAUAACCCGCCGGUCGUUGGCUCAAUCCCAACUGCAACCACCA